UUUCCGGUUGAUCCUGCCGGACCUGACUGCUAUCGGAUUGAUACUAAGCCAUGCGAGUCAUUGUAGUAAUACAAGGCAGACGGCUCAGUAACGCGUAGUCAACCUACCCUAUGGACGGGAAUAACCUCGGGAAACUGAGUAUAAUGCCCGAUAGAACACUAUACCUGGAAUGGUUUGUGUUCCAAAUGAUUUAUCGCCGUAGGAUGGGACUGCGGCCUAUCAGUUUGUUGGUGAGGUAAUGGCCCACCAAGACUAUUACAGGUACGGGCUCUGAGAGGAGUAGCCCGGAGAUGGGUACUGAGACACGGACCCAGGCCCUAUGGGGCGCAGCAGGCGAGAAAACUUUGCAAUGUGCGAAAGCACGACAAGGUUAAUCCGAGUGGUUUGUGCUAAACGAACCUUUUGACAGUCCUAGAAACACUGUUGAAUAAGGGGUGGGCAAGUUCUGGUGUCAGCCGCCGCGGUAAAACCAGCACCUCAAGUGGUCAGGAUGAUUAUUGGGCCUAAAGCAUCCGUAGCCGGCUCUGUAAGUUUUCGGUUAAAUCUGUACGCUCAACGUACAGGCUGCCGGGAAUACUGCAGAGCUAGGGAGUGGGAGAGGUAGACGGUACUCGGUAGGAAGGGGUAAAAUCCUUUGAUCUAUUGAUGACCACCUGUGGCGAAGGCGGUCUACCAGAACACGUCCGACGGUGAGGGAUGAAAGCUGGGGGAGCAAACCGGAUUAGAUACCCGGGUAGUCCCAGCUGUAAACUAUGCAAACUCAGUGAUGCAUUGGCUUGUGGCCAAUGCAGUGCUGCAGGGAAGCCGUUAAGUUUGCCGCCUGGGAAGUACGUACGCAAGUAUGAAACUUAAAGGAAUUGGCGGGGGAGCACCACAAGGGGUGAAGCCUGCGGUUCAAUUGGAUUCAACGCCGGG
rnacentral:rRNA from 1 species